AUCGUUCGGCGGUUUCCUCCCAUUCCGCUGAACGGUGUUCCCCUCUGAAGGUUGUAAACCUUCUUUCUUGGCCGGGCCGUAUUCGAGCCCGGCCAUU
rnacentral:sRNA from 1 species